rnacentral:rRNA from 1 species
UACGUAGGGGGCAAGCGUUGUCCGGAAUCAUUGGGCGUAAAGCGCGUGUAGGCGGCCCGGUAAGUCCGCUGUGAAAGUCGGGGGCUCAACCCUCGAAUGCCGGUGGCUACUGUCGGGCUAGAGUGCGGAAGAGGCGAGUGGAAUUCCUGGUGUAGCGGUGAAAUGCGCAGAUAUCAGGAGGAACACCAAUUGCGAAGGCAGCUCGCUGGGACGUGACUGACGCUGAGACGCGAAAGCGUGGGGAGCAAACAGG